GACUUGAUGAAUAUAAUCAGAUACCAUCUAGAAAAGGCUGGUUUGUGACCUCAGGAGUUGGAGGAAGCAAGCCUCCGCCAGGUUAUAAUUAGACAAGAGAUGGAACAAGAUAAAAAUGAAGUGUUUGGAAUAGCCCAGAGUGCUGAUAUGAUGUGGCGCAUGUCAAACUGAUUUCUAUACAAACAAGAGAGAAAGGAGCUAAAAAAACAGCUGCCAUAUGAAGGAAGACUUUGAGGAAUAAGAGGAAACUCCCCCGGCUGACUGAAAUAUCCUCAGAACAGAACAACUACAAGAAAACAAGUGGAUCGCCAAAGACUCAAAUCCUUCAGAAGCCACAUACAUGCCGUGGAAGCUCUCACCUCAUGCUGUUCAAGGCUUUUCUCUGGAGGAAGUCCCAGGUUCUGCUCCCGCUGCCUCUCAAGUGCACAAGGGUCAUACUGAACCCAUAUUUAACGGACUUCCUUCAGGAGUCUCUUGUUGGAGCCACAAGGACCCUUAAGAAAAAUCCUUGGAGGCAGCUGGUCCCUGCUGUCAUUGAGACCCAAAGGAGGAGCUCCACGGCCGGCCGAGGGGCUGCUCCCUAGAUGUCAUGAGGUUGCUUGUAUUUCAAAAGAACUCAGCUUACCACCUCUGUGGCUUUUAGCCUCU